AAUCUAUGAAGUAGGUACUGUAUAGUAUUUGAAUAAGUUGAACAAGGGUCUCAAAACUGAUGUCAAUCCUCUUAGAGAUCUGGGACAUCAAUUGUGAUGUUUAGUUUACAUCCACUGGCCAUAUUUGCAUAACCCAGCCAACUCUCCCAGUCACCUAACUCAUCUUCACCCACUGGCAGAACAGGACAUGGGAUGGCUGGGACUUUUGUGUUCCAGCCAUCUGUUACAUCUUCCCAGCCAGUGCAAUGGGGACCAGGAUGCUGUUGCUUUUUUUCCCGUGCCUCAUUUUUUCUCCUUCUACUCUUCACCUUUCUUCUCUUUCUCCUCAUUCUUUUGGUUGAUGGAACCUUCCAUGCCUUCCUCUUGGCCACCUAGGUCAGAAGGCAGCAUGUAGACCAGGAUCGGACAAAGGUGUAAGCAGGAUCUGACUCCAAUGUUCAUCCAGAUCUUCUUUCAUGUCUAUUAAAGCUGCAAGUAUCCAGAG